rnacentral:rRNA from 1 species
UACAGAGGGGGCAAGCGUUGUUCGGAAUUACUGGGCGUAAGGGCGCGAGUAGGCGGCCCUCUAAGUCAGACGUGAAAUCCCGUCGGCUCAAACCGGGGGAACUGCGCUCUGAGACUGGAAGGCUUGAAUUCGGGAGAUGGGAUGGUGGAAUUCCAGGGUGUAGCGGUGGAAAUGACGUAGAUAUCUGGAGGAACACCGGGUGGCGAAGGCGGCAUCCUGGACCGAUAUUGACGCUGAUGCGCGAAAGCCAGGGGA